rnacentral:rRNA from 1 species
UACGAAGGGUGCAAGCGUUAAUCGGAAUUACUGGGCGUAAAGGGUGCGUAGGCGGUUGUUUAAGUCUGUCGUGAAAUCCCCGGGCUCAACCUGGGAAUGGCGAUGGAUACUGGGCAGCUAGAGUGUGUCAGAGGAUGGUGGAAUUCCCGGUGUAGCGGUGAAAUGCGUAGAGAUCGGGAGGAACAUCAGUGGCGAAGGCGGCCAUCUGGGACGUUACUGACGCUGAGACGCGAAAGCGUGGGGAGCAAACAGG